GCUCAGGAUGAACGCUAGCUACAGGCUUAACACAUGCAAGUCGAGGGGUAGCAGGGUAGCAAUACCGCUGACGACCGGCGCACGGGUGAGUAACACGUAUCCAACCUUCCCAUAACUCGGGGAUAGCCUUUCGAAAGAAAGAUUAAUACCCGAUAGUACUUAAUUAUGGCAUCAUGAUUAAGUUAAAGAUUUAUUGGUAAUGGAUGGGGAUGCGUUCCAUUAGAUUGUUGGUGAGGUAACGGCUCACCAAGUCUUCGAUGGAUAGGGGUUCUGAGAGGAAGGUCCCCCACAUUGGUACUGAGACACGGACCAAACUCCUACGGGAGGCAGCAGUGAGGAAUAUUGGUCAAUGGGCGAGAGCCUGAACC
rnacentral:rRNA from 1 species